GGAUUAGAUACCCUGGUAGUCCACACCGUAAACGAUGGAUACUUGUUGUUGGAGGUAUUGACCCCUUCAGUGACGAAGCUAACGCGUUAAGUAUCCCGCCUGGGGAGUACGGUCGCAAGAUUAAAACUCAAAGAAAUUGACGGGGGCCCGCACAAGCGGUGGAGUAUGUGGUUUAAUUCGAUGCAACGCGAAGAACCUUACCUGGGCUUGACAUGAAAUGGAAGACUGGCAGAAAUGUCGUCGCUCGCAAGAGUCGUUUCACAGGUGCUGCAUGGCUGUCGUCAGCUCGUGCCG
rnacentral:rRNA from 1 species